CUAGCCCACUAGAGACUUCGGGAGAUUCACAAGUCAAGAUUCAGUGGAGGAGAUUCACAAGUCAGAACCCACAAUCCCACUCUCAGAGGUGGAGUCAAGAUUCAUUCCAUCUUCCACCUUUGUGCUGACUGGAGAUUUGGAGGGAGCUAGAGGCUGAAACUGGAAGAAACAAAGGAUGAGUGGCAAGAACUCUCGGAAUCAAGGAGAGAGACCUCUAAGAAAGCUAACCAGGCUAAUUUGAAAGACACAAUAAAGGAUUUGGACUUUAA